UGAAGAAGCAAAUCAAGCACCCUUGUGUCUUGUGUGAACUUUGUUUACCUAGGUUACCGUGGAUCUUAGACUACUUCAGCUGGUAUGAGGUUGAAAGAAGGUAGUCAUACUAAUCGAAGUCUGCUAACACAGGGAAAGGUUGUUCACCAACUCAGAUGAAGAAUAAGCAGACAACCGCCUUACUGUUUGGAUCAAGGAAUCGCUCCUCAUUUGAAGACGAAACAAACAUGGUAAUUGCAAAUUACUUUUAUUUUCAAUCUAAUCCAGAUGUGCCGGUCUAUGCAGAUUUCAGAAUAGCACUGGUGUCACCUCGACAAAAUACUCGAAUUGUAUUUGAGAAAUAAAUGGUCAUGAAUUGAAUUUUCACUACCAUUUUGUGUGCUUGACUUGAUACAGCUCCGAGGGUGGUGCUUUAUAAUACUGUGAUGAACCUAUUUUGCUAUCCUCAUAAGCACAUGGUGAAGUUUGUAUUAUGUUUUAGUGCCAUUGAUGGUCUGUAG